rnacentral:rRNA from 1 species
UACGAAGGGGGGCUAGCGUUGCUCGGAAUUACUGGGCGUAAAGCGCACGUAGGCGGAUUGUUAAGUCGGGGGUGAAAUCCUGGAGCUCAACCCUUGGAAGCCGGCCGAUACUGUCGGACUAGAGUCCGGAAGAGGCGAGUGGAAUUCCCCGGUGUAGCGGUGAAAUGCGCAGAGUAUCAGGAAGAACACCCGUGGCGAAGGCGGUUCUCUGGACGGUACUGACGCUGAGACGCGAAAGCGUGGGGAGCGAACAGG